rnacentral:rRNA from 1 species
AGCUUGCUCUCUGGGUGGCGAGUGGCGGACGGGUGAGGAAUACAUCGGAAUCUACUCUGUCGUGGGGGAUAACGUAGGGAAACUUACGCUAAUACCGCAUACGACCUACGGGUGAAAGCAGGGGACCUUCGGGCCUUGCGCGAUUGAAUGAGCCGAUGUCGGAUUAGCUAGUUGGCGGGGUAAAGGCCCACCAAGGCGACGAUCCGUAGCUGGUCUGAGAGGAUGAUCAGCCACACUGGAACUGAGACACGGUCCAGACUCCUACGGGAGGCAGCAGUGGGGAAUAUUGGACAAUGGGCGCAAGCCUGAUCCAGCCAUACCGCGUGGGUGAAGAAGGCCUUCGGGUUGUAAAGCCCUUUUGUUGGGAAAGAAAUCCAGCUGGCUAAUACCCGGUUGGGAUGACGGUACCCAAAGAAUAAGCACCGGCUAACUUCGUGCCAGCAGCCGCGGUAAUACGAAGGGUGCAAGCGUUACUCGGAAUUACUGGGCGUAAAGCGUGCGUAGGUGGUCGUUUAAGUCCGUUGUGAAAGCCCUGGGCUCAACCUGGGAACUGCAGUGGAUACUGGGCGACUAGAAUGUGGUAGAGGGUAGCGGAAUUCCUGGUGUAGCAGUGAAAUGCGUA